AGUGAACGCUGGCGGCGUGCUUAACACAUGCAAGUCGAACGAGAACGGAAUAUAGCUUGCUAUAUUUGUCAGCUAAGUGGCGCACGGGUGAGUAAUGUAUAGAUAACCUGCCCUUAAGAAAGGAAUAACAGUUGGAAACGACUGCUAAUGCCCUAUAUGCCUUUAAUACAUAAGUAUGCAAGGGAAACGCUUUAGUGCUUAAGGAUGGGUCUGUAUGGUAUCAGAUUGUUGGUGAGGUAAUGGCUCACCAAGGCUAUGACGCCUAACUGGUUUGAGAGGAUGAUCAGGCACACUGGAACUGAGACACGGUACAGACUCCUACGGGAGGCAGCAGUGGGGAAUAUUGCACAAUGGACGAAAGUCUGAUGCAGCAACGCCGCGUGGAGGAUGACACAUUUCGGUGCGUAAACUCCUUUUAUAUAGGAAGAUAAUGACGGUACUAUAUGAAUAAGCACCGGCUAACUCCGUGCCAGCCGCCGCAGUAA
rnacentral:rRNA from 1 species